UACGUAGGUGACAAGCGUUGUCCGGAUUUACUGGGCGUAAAGAGCGCGCAGGCGGUCGUUCAAGUCGAGUGUGAAAGCCCCGGCUCAACUGGGGAGGUCAUUCGAUACUGAUCGACUCGAAGGCAGGAGAGGGAAGUGGAAUUCCCGGUGUAGUGGUGAAAUGCGUAGAUAUCGGGAGGAACACCAGUGGCGAAGGCGACUUCCUGGCCUGUUCUUGACGCUGAGGCGCGAAAGCUAGGGAGCAAACGGG
rnacentral:rRNA from 1 species